AUUGAACGCUGGCGGCAGGCCUAACACAUGCAAGUCGAACGAGCGGCGGACGGGUGAGUAAUGUCUGGGAAUCUGCCCGAUGGAGGGGGAUAACUACUGGAAACGGUCGCUAAUACCGCAUACUAUCGGAUGAACCCAUAUGGGAUUAGCUAGUAGGUGGGGUAACGGCUCACCUAGGCGACGAUCCCUAGCUGGUCUGAGAGGAUGACCAGCCACACGGGAACUGAGACACGGUCCAGACUCCUACGGGAGGCAGCAGUGGGGAAUAUUGCACAAUGGGCGCAAGCCUGAUGCAGCCAUGCCGCGUGUAUGAAGAAGGCCUUAGGGUUGUAAAGUACUUUCAGCGGGGAGGCGUUACCCGCAGAAGAAGCACCGGCUAACUCCGUGCCAGCAGCCGCGGUAAUAC
rnacentral:rRNA from 1 species